AUUGAACGCUGGCGGCAGGCCUAACACAUGCAAGUCGAGCGGAUGAAGGGAGCUUGCUCCUGGAUUCAGCGGCGGACGGGUGGGUAAUGCCUAGGAAUCUGCCUGGUAGUGGGGGAUAACGUCCGGAAACGGGCGCUAAUACCGCAUACGUCCUGAGGGAGAAGGUGGGGGAUCUUCGGACCUCACGCUAUCAGAUGAGCCUAGGUCGGAUUAGCUAGUUGGUGGGGUAAAGGCCUACCAAGGCGACGAUCCGUAACUGGUCUGAGAGGAUGAUCAGUCACACUGGAACUGAGACACGGUCCAGACUCCUACGGGAGGCAGCAGUGGGGAAUAUUGGACAAUGGGCGAAAGCCUGAUCCAGCCAUGCCGCGUGUGUGAAGAAGGUCUUCGGAUUGUAAAGCACUUUAAGUUGGGAGGAAGGGCAGUAAGUUAAUACCUUGCUGUUUUGACGUUACCAACAGAAUAAGCACCGGCUAACUUCGUG
rnacentral:rRNA from 1 species